rnacentral:rRNA from 1 species
GGGUUGUGAGGUUAAGCGACUAAGCGUACACGGUGGAUGCCCUGGCAGUCAGAGGCGAUGAAGGGCGUGCUAAUCUGCGAUAAGCGCCGGUAAGGUGAUAUGAACCGUUAUAACCGGCGAUACCCGAAUGGGGAAACCCAGUGUGAUUCGUCACACUAUCAUUAACUGAAUCCAUAGGUUAAUGAGGCGAACCGGGGGAACUGAAACAUCUAAGUACCCCGAGGAAAAGAAAUCAACCGAGAUUCCCCCAGUAGCGGCGAGCGAACGGGGAGGAGCCCAGAGCCUGAAUCAGCAUGUGUGUUAGUGGAAGCGUCUGGAAAGGCGCGCGAUACAGGGUGACAGCCCCGUACACAAAAGCGCAUGUGCUGUGAGCUCGAUGAGUAGGGCGGGACACGUGGUAUCCUGUCUGAAUAUGGGGGGACCAUCCUCCAAGGCUAAAUACUCCUGACUGACCGAUAGUGAACCAGUACCGUGAGGGAAAGGCGAAAAGAACCCCGGCGAGGGGAGUGAAAAAGAACCUGAAACCGUGUACGUACAAGCAGUGGGAGCACAGGUUUACCUGUGUG